CAAUAAUUAAGGUAGUUGAAAAUGCAAUUUUAUAUUAAUAAUGUCUUCUUAUAUUAAAGAUUUUCCUUGGUCAACAUUGGAAGUGAAGAAGAUUUCUGCGCAAAGAUUUUCCUUGGUCAAAGAGUGCAACAUGAGCUGUUGUGGAUAUUAACUUUACUGCCAGAUGAACAUUGGAAGUGAACAAGAUUUCUGCACAGAGAUUUUCCUUGGUCAAAGAGUGCAACAUUUGCUGCUGUGGAUAUUAACUUUACUGCCAGAUGAACAUUGGAAGUGAACAAGAUUUCUGCACAGAGAUUUUCCUUGGUCAAUGAGUGCAACAUGAGCUGUGGAUGUGAACUUUACUAGAUGUACAUUGAUUGGAAAGUGAACAAGAUAUCUGCACUGAGUGUUGAAGAAAGUUGAAAGGCACCCAGAUUCAUUAAUUA
rnacentral:lncRNA from 1 species